GCCUACGGGGCGCAGCAGUAGGGAAUCUUCGGCAAUGGGGGCAACCCUGACCGAGCAACGCCGCGUGAGUGAAGAAGGUUUUCGGAUCGUAAAGCUCUGUUGUAAGAGGAGAACGUGUGUGAGCGUGGAAAGUUCACACAGUGACGGUAACUUACCAGAAAGGGACGGCUAACUACGUGCCAGCAGCCGCGGUAAUACGUAGGUCCCGAGCGUUAUCCGGAUUUAUUGGGCGUAAAGCGAGCGCAGGCGGUUGUGUAAGUUUGAAGUAUAAGG
rnacentral:rRNA from 1 species